GAACGGGUGAGUAACACGUGGGUGAUCUGCCCUGCACUUUGGGAUAAGCCUGGGAAACUGGGUCUAAUACCGAAUAGGACCACGCGCUUCAUGGUGUGUGGUGGAAAGCUUUUGCGGUGUGGGAUGGGCCCGCGGCCUAUCAGCUUGUUGGUGGGGUAAUGGCCUACCAAGGCGACGACGGGUAGCCGGCCUGAGAGGGUGACCGGCCACACUGGGACUGAGAUACGGCCCAGACUCCUACGGGAGGCAGCAGUGGGGAAUAUUGCACAAUGGGCGCAAGCCUGAUGCAGCGACGCCGCGUGAGGGAUGACGGCCUUCGGGUUGUAAACCUCUUUCAAUAGGGACGAAGCGCAAGUGACGGUACCUAUAGAAGAAGCACCGGCCAACUACGUGCCAGCAGCCGCGGUAAUACGUAGGGUGCGAGCGUUGUCCGGAAUUACUGGGCGUAAAGAGCUCGUAGGUGGUUUGUCGCGUUGUUCGUGAAAACUCACAGCUUAACUGUGGGCGUGCGGGCGAUACGGGCAGACUAGAGUACUGCAGGGGAGACUGGAAUUCCUGGUGUAGCGGUGGAAUGCGCAGAUAUCAGGAGGAACACCGGUGGCGAAGGCGGGUCUCUGGGCAGUAACUGACGCUGAGGAGCGAAAGCGUGGGGAGCGAACAGGAUUAGAUACCCUGGUAGUCCACGCCGUANACGGUGGGUACUAGGUGUGGGUUCCUUCCUUGGGAUCCGUGCCGUAGCUAACGCAUUAAGUACCCCGCCUGGGGAGUACGGCCGCAAGGCUAANACUCAAAGGAAUUGNNNGGGGCCCGCACANNCGGC
rnacentral:rRNA from 1 species